rfam:Melampsora larici-populina 98AG31 unplaced genomic scaffold MELLAscaffold_4, whole genome shotgun sequence.
AUCUGGGGCCAUACCACAAUGAACUUACCGCAUCCCGUCCGAUCUGCGCAGUCAAACAUUGUAGGUUAUUUUGAUAAAUAUAAGGGUUUGAUUAAAUAUUAGACUAUUGUAUUUA